CCUACGGGGGGCUGCAGUGGGGAAUAUUGGACAAUGGGGGCAACCCUGAUCCAGCCAUGCCGCGUGUGUGAAGAAGGCCCUCGGGUUGUAAAGCACUUUCAGUGAGGAAGAACGCCUGGUGGUUAAUACCCAUCAGGAAAGACAUCACUCACAGAAGAAGCACCGGCUAACUCCGUGGCCAGCAGCCGCGGUAAUACGGAGGGUGCGAGCGUUAAUCGGAAUUACUGGGCGUAAAGCGCGCGUAGGUGGCUUGAUAAGCCGGUUGUGAAAGCCCCGGGCUCAACCUGGGAACGGCAUCCGGAACUGUCAAGCUAGAGUGCAGGAGAGGAAGGUAGAAUUCCCGGUGUAGCGGUGAAAUGCGUAGAGAUCGGGAGGAAUACCAGUGGCGAGGGCGGCCUUCUGGACUGACACUGACACUGAGGUGCGAAAGCGUGGGUAGCAAACAGGAUUAGAUACCCUUGUAGUC
rnacentral:rRNA from 1 species